rnacentral:tRNA from 2 species
GGAAGGAUGGCAGAGCGGCUGAAUGCGGCGGUCUCGAAAACCGUUUUACCGGUACUCCCGGUAACGAGGGUUCAAAUCCCUCUCCUUCCGCCA